rnacentral:rRNA from 1 species
CUAUUUGUCAACUCUGAUAAUAUGGAAGUGAUUGACACAGUGAAAAAUGGAGGACAAUCGGCGGCAGCGGCAGCGGCAGUGUUUGACGAUUGCUAUUUUAUGGCAUGUGAUUUUUCUGUUACUAGGUUUGAACAUUGUAGCAGGGAAGCAAAUAAGGUUGCUCAUGAACUUGCAAGGCUAGUGAAAUUUUCCGAGACUAGGGAUUGGUGUGAGGAGCCUAUGGGUGAUAUUGUAUCUUUUCUUAUUAUUGAUGAUCUAACUCUUAUAUCUAAUUAA